GCCAGACAAGGGUUCGAUUCCCGGGUCGGGCGAAGUAUUGCUGGGCCUUAUUCGGCUUUUCGCAAAUUUCUCAGUAGUAGCAUAGAGUCUGGAAUGGUGCCCAGUAUAUGACAAUAGGCUCGCCCUCUAUUACAUGGGACUUACAAUAUAAAUGGUUAAAUGUGGGUGUACAUUGUACAGUGGUUGUAAUAUGAAUUCGAUGUUAAUAUACCCCGCCAAGCUCUCCUAAGUUGCUAAAAUCUGAUGAGGAUUAGACCAAUGAGUUUUUAAUAUCAAAACUAGAAUAAAAUCUAUGAGAGUUUUCAAGGUUCUAACAACAACACGGAACUCUUUGCUUAAAUUGUUGUGGUUUCAGAGUCACAGAGUCAUAACAACACAGAGUAAAAUGUCAUGAAACGUAUUGUAUAUCAUCAAUAUACGUGCAUCUUAUUUUAAACCACUUAUAUUACUACUCUAUCGUGUAUACAUGUUAUGACUUAUGAUACAAUAAGUAAAUAAAAUUAUGUGUAGAUAACAAAACACUACCGUUUGAUUGAACAUACUCCAAUUGUAAAGUAAUUGUGGAAAUUAUAUAAAGAAUAAAUGCAAUGUAAAUCAUGGUAUAUGGUGUAAUACUGGCUGUGAUUGUGGCAGCUGUGUGGUUGCCAUGUAUUAGGAAAGGAAUAUGGGCCCAACCCGGCCCGGUUUAUGCAAGAGACAGAAAGAAUCGCGUGUUUCAAAUCACACCAACUGGAAAAUGUUGUGAAAGUCAAUGUAGAAACAAAUAAUUACUUGUAUCUUAUAUCAAGUUUUUCUUUUGUGCCACACCCGAAUGACAAAAUCUUGAUAUUCAUUCAUUUAUUCGUUAAAAUACUAUUAGUAUUGUUUUCUAUUGCUCUCUUA